GCAAGAGUCUACUUUGUAAAAGCCACAAUAGUUUGAAUUGGUGUUUGUUAACGAAGAAUCUGAGGAAUAAAAUAAUUUGAAAAAAUAAUUACAAAUCAUGAAUGGCACAGAAGCAUGUACAUCGUGGAACGGUAUUGACUCAGAGGAGAUUGUUAUUUCUGGUAUCGCUGGCAGAUUUCCUGAUUCAGAUAACGUGAAUGAAUUACG